UACGUAGGGUCCGAGCGUUGUCCGGAAUUAUUGGGCGUAAAGGGCUCGUAGGCGGUCUGUUGCGUCGGGAGUGAAAACUUACAGCUUAACUGUGAGCGUGCUUCCGAUACGGGCAGACUUGAGGUAUUCAGGGGAGAACGGAAUUCCUGGUGUAGCGGUGAAAUGCGCAGAUAUCAGGAGGAACACCGGUGGUGUAGACGGCUUUCUGGACCGUAACUGACGCUGAGACACGAAAGCGUGGGUAGCAAACAGG
rnacentral:rRNA from 1 species